rnacentral:rRNA from 1 species
CUACGGGGGCGCAGCAGUGGGGAAUAUUGCACAAUGGAGGAAACUCUGAUGCAGCAACGCCGCGUGGAGGAUGACACUUUUCGGAGCGUAAACUCCUUUUAUAUAGGAAGAAGAUGACGGUACUAUAUGAAUAAGCGCCGGCUAACUCCGUGCAAGCAGCCGCGGUAAUACGGAGGGCGCAAGCGUUACUCGGAAUCACUGGGCGUAAAGAGCGUGUAGGCGGAUUAAAAAGUCAGAAGUGAAAUCCUAUAGCUUAACUAUAGAACUGCUUCUGAAACUCUUAAUCUAGAAUAUGGGAGAGGUAGAUGGAAUUUCUGGUGUAGGGGUAAAAUCCGUAGAGAUCAGAAGGAAUACCGAUUGCGAAGGCGAUCUCCUGGAACAUUACUGACGCUAAGGCGUGAAAGCGUGGGGAGCAAACAGGAUUAGAUACCCUCGUAGUC